CGCAAUUAUAGUUAUUGUAGGCGUAUCGAGGUUGAGGAGGCCAAGGGAGCUAUUUUCAGGAUGUGGCGGGGUAGGGCGACGGGGCCAGACGAGAUUCUAGUAGACUUUUAGAAGAGCACUAGCGGGCAGGUCUGGAGUGGUUGACAAGGCUGUUUAACAUUAUUUUUAGAGCUGCUAAGAUGCCUGAAGCAUGGAGGUAGAGCACGAUGAUUCCAGUGUAUAAGAACAAGGGAGACAUUUAGAGUUGUAACAACUAUAGAGGUAUUAAGUUGUUGAGUCAUACUAUGAAGGUUUGGGAAAUGGUGGUAGA
rnacentral:lncRNA from 1 species